AGGAUCAGGAGCAUGUUCACGACAGCUACUGGAGUAAAAAUCGCUACAAGAGCAAGAAGCCCUGCCUAAGCUGUUACCUUGACCGCAGUGUCAAAAGGCCCCAGGAAAUCGGCAACGAUGAUACCGAGUUUCAGCACCACGCCAAGAUGUUUCACAAGGCCAAGGGAGUUCCAUUUGGAAAGUGCAGAAAGAAGGGCUGCGGUGUGAUAGGCAAGAUGACGGAUAUCGAGCUCCAUCAGCGCUAUUGUCAUGGCAUGGAUUGAGCAAAGAUGAGGCCACGUUGGCGUGCGCUUCUGUAGCUACUCUGUUUUAGUAUUUUUCCCAUGAGCAGUGCGUGUAGUGUGCUCUCAGGAGAACCGUGCUAGUAUGCUCUUUCGAAAAUUUGUAGGAAAAUCUCGUGAGUGGACUUUCGUAACAAGUGGAAUGGUUCCGGUGUCCAACUUAACACUGAUGUUUUCACUUGUUGAAUCCUUUACAUUCAGAAUGGAAGCGAAAGUGGCCAACUUAUCAGUUAGCACCUCCUUCUUCAGUUUGUGUCA